rnacentral:rRNA from 1 species
UACGAAGGGGGCUAGCGUUGUUCGGAUUUACUGGGCGUAAAGCGCACGUAGGCGGAUCUUUUAAGUCAGAGGUGAAAUCCCAAGGCUCAACCUUGGAACUGCCUUUGAUACUGGGGAUCUCGAGUCCGGGAGAGGUGAGUGGAACUGCGAGUGUAGAGGUGAAAUUCGUAGAUAUUCGCAAGAACACCAGUGGCGAAGGCGGCUCACUGGCCCGGUACUGAC